AGUGAACGCUGGCGGUAGGCCUAACACAUGCAAGUCGAACGGCAGCACAGUAAGAGCUUGCUCUUACGGGUGGCGAGUGGCGGACGGGUGAGGAAUACAUCGGAAUCUACUUUUUCGUGGGGGAUAACGUAGGGAAACUUACGCUAAUACCGCAUACGACCUACGGGUGAAAGCAGGGGAUCUUCGGACCUUGCGCGAUUGAAUGAGCCGAUGUCGGAUUAGCUAGUUGGCGGGGUAAAGGCCCACCAAGGCGACGAUCCGUAGCUGGUCUGAGAGGGUGAUCAGCCACACUGGAAAUGAGACACGGUCCAGACUCCUACGGGAGGCAGCAGUGGGGAAUAUUGGACAAUGGGCGCAAGCCUGAUCCAGCCAUACCGCGUGGGUGAAGAAGGCCUUCGGGUUGUAAAGCCCUUUUGUUGGGAAAGAAAAGCAGCAGGUUAAUACCCCGCUGUUCUGACGGUACCCAAAGAAUAAGCACCGGCUAACCUCGUG
rnacentral:rRNA from 1 species